rnacentral:rRNA from 1 species
AUUGAACGCUGGCGGCAUGCCUUACACAUGCAAGUCGAACGGCAGCGGGGGAGAAGCUUGCUUUUCCUGCCGGCGAGUGGCGAACGGGUGAGUAAUACAUCGGAACGUGCCCUGUAGUGGGGGAUAACUAGUCGAAAGAUUAGCUAAUACCGCAUACGACCUGAGGGUGAAAGUGGGGGAUCGCAAGGCCUCAUGCUAUAGGAGCGGCCGAUGUCUGAUUAGCUAGUUGGUGGGGUAAAGGCCUACCAAGGCGACGAUCAGUAGCUGGUCUGAGAGGACGAUCAGCCACACUGGGACUGAGACACGGCCCAGACUCCUACGGGAGGCAGCAGUGGGGAAUUUUGGACAAUGGGCGAAAGCCUGAUCCAGCAAUGCCGCGUGUGUGAAGAAGGCCUUCGGGUUGUAAAGCACUUUUGUCCGGAAAGAAAUGGCUCUGGUUAAUACCUGGGGUCGAUGACGGUACCGGAAGAAUAAGGACCGGCUAACUACGUGCCAGCCGCCGCGAAGA